rnacentral:lncRNA from 1 species
AUCAGCACUUCGUUCCAAAACGUUACAUUCUUGCUGAAAAUUCAACAAGGUCAAAUCAGAUAUCAGCACUGGCACCUAAUUCCAAUUCAGGAAAUGCCCCAGCUCCAGCACCGAGUCAUAAUGUCACUCCAAUCCAUAAACAUAGUAACAGGAAGAAAAGGAAAGUCAGAGCGUGGUUACUUGGUUUCUUUGCUGGUUCUUUCGCAGGAGCUAUAUCUGCAGUACUCUUAUCAGUUCUUUUUAAGCUGGUCAUGUUUUUUGUCCGAAAGGGAAAGACUGAUGGAACUUUAACAAUAUACAGUCCACUGAUUAAGAAAGCCGAGGAUUUGGCCUUCUUAGAGACAGAAGAUGGAGUAGCAUCACUUGAAAUGAUUGGAAAAGGUGGAUGCGGAGAAGUUUAUAGAGCUGAGUUACCGGGAAGUAAUGGGAAGAUUAUAGCUAUAAAGAAGAUUAUACAACCCCCAAUGGAUGCUGCAGAACUCACCGAGGAAGAUACCAAGGCUUUGAACAAAAAAAUGCGACAAGUAAAAUCAGAAAUUCAAAUUCUUGGUCAAAUCAGACACAGGAAUCUGCUUCCCCUACUGGCACAUAUGCCUAGGCCAGACUGCCAUUACUUGGUAUAUGAAUAUAUGAAAAAUGGGAGCUUACAAGAUAUCCUCCAGCAAGUCACAGAAGGGACAAGGGAAUUAGAUUGGUUGGGACGACACCGAAUUGCAGUAGGGAUAGCUUCUGGACUUGAGUAUCUCCAUAUAAACCACAGUCAAUGCAUAAUUCACAGAGAUCUAAAGCCAGCAAAUGUCCUUCUUGACGAUGAUAUGGAAGCUCGAAUAGCUGAUUUUGGACUUGCAAAGGCACUUCCAGAUAAUCCCAUAUAAACCACAGUCAAUGCAUAAUUCACAGAGAUCUAAAGCCAGCAAAUGUCCUUCUUGACGAUGAUAUGGAAGCUCGAAUUGCUGAUUUUGGACUUGCAAAAGCACUCCCAGAUGCCCAUACACAUGUUACGACUUCAAAUGUUGCAGGAACUGUGGGAUAUAUUGCACCAGAAUACCAUCAGACACUGAAGUUUACGGGUAAGUGUGAUAU